UGGCGUAGUGGUUAAGAGGUUGGCUGUUAACCAAAAGGUUGGUGGUUCGAAUCCACC
rnacentral:tRNA from 1 species